AACGCAAAUUGCGCCCCUUGGUAUUCCAGGGGGCAUGCCUGUUUGAGAACCUUGACGUACCUCAACCCCCCAGCAUUGUGGUUCACAUGAUGGUGGGUGUGUUGGAUCUGGGUCAACCCCCAUUCCCCCUGGGACGCGGGUGACCUUAAAUUCAAAGUCAGGCGGAAGUUCAAGUCAUGGCAAAGACGUGAUAAUAUGGGAUCAACCUCCUGUUUCUGCGUCGAUACGCUAUCCUUGACAUGGGAUCUCCGCAUCCCAGCCGGCUGAUCAACCGUUGCCAGGCGUUGGCGCUUGUCGCUGGCGUAUACCUGAACACCUGGUCUCAAAUCAGACAAGAGUACCCGCUGAACUUAA
rnacentral:misc_RNA from 1 species